rnacentral:rRNA from 1 species
UAGAGUUUGAUCCUGGCUCAGAAUCAACGCUGGCGGCGUGCCUAACACAUGCAAGUCGCACGAGAAAGGGGCUUCGGCUCUGAGUACAGUGGCGCACGGGUGAGUAACACGUGAAUCAUCUACCUUCGAGUGGGGAAUAACCUCGGGAAACCGAGGCUAAUACCGCAUAACACCUACGGGUCAAAGCAGCAAUGCGCUUGAAGAGGAGUUCGCGGCAGAUUAGUUAGUUGGCGGGGUAAUGGCCCACCAAGACGAUGAUCUGUAUCCGGCCUGAGAGGGCGCACGGACACACUGGAACUGAAACACGGUCCAGACUCCUACGGGAGGCAGCAGUGGGGAAUUUUGCGCAAUGGGGGAAACCCUGACGCAGCAACGCCGCGUGGAGGAUGAAAUCCCUUGGGAUGUAAACUCCUUUCGAUCGGGACGAUUAUGACGGUACCGGAAGAAGAAGCCCCGGCUAACUUCGUGCCGGCAGCCGCGGUAAUACGAGGGGGGCAAGCGUUGUUCGGAAUUAUUGGGCGUAAAGGGCGCGUAGGCGGUUUGGCAAGUCUCUAUGUGAAAUCUCUGGGCUCAACCCAGAGUCUGCAUGAGAAACUGCCGGGCUUGAGUAUGGGAGAGGUGAGUGGAAUUUCCGGUGUAGCGGUGAAAUGCGUAGAUAUCGGAAGGAACACCUGUGGCGAAAGCGGCUCACUGGACCAUAACUGACGCUGAGGCGC